AACGAACGCUGGCGGCGUGGAUAAGACAUGCAAGUCGAACGGGAUUCCUUUCGGUAGCAAUACUGAGAGGAAUUUAGUGGCGAACGGGUGCGUAACACGUGGGGAAUCUGCCGAGAAGUGGGGGAUAGCUCGUCGAAAGGACGAAUUAAUACCGCAUAUGAUCAGCCAAGACAUCUUGGCGACAUCAAAGCCGGGGCAACCUGGCGCUUCUUGAUGACCCCG
rnacentral:rRNA from 1 species